UCCUUGGUGGCCUAGAGGUUAAGGAUCUGGCAUUGUCACUGCUGUGGCUUGGGUUCGAUCCCUGGCCCAGGAA
rnacentral:tRNA from 1 species